AGGGUAAUGAUGAAAUUGGUAAACAUGGAUAGUUUAGGACUAUUAUUCUACCCGUUCAAGUCGGGUUUACCUUA
rnacentral:tRNA from 1 species